AUUAAGACGUUGAAGAGAAGAGUAAUCGCAUCACUGAUUUGCAGAGAGCUUCGUAAUGGUGAGAGAAGUAUUCAGGAGUGCGGUGAAGAUGAGCUUGGAGUCAUGAUGCGGGUCGUAGUGGCUACGCAUGCGGUGGCAACCGAUAUAUUGCGGGGUUUCCUAGAUUUUUCAGGGUACUCGUCGAGGUUGUGAUCGUGAGAUGGCAGCGAACAACGGUGGUAACGCGAAAGCUUUCGUCCGUUAG
rnacentral:ncRNA from 1 species